GCUCGGUUCGUCCGAGAAGCCUUAAAACUGUGACGACACAUUCACCUUGAACCAAGGGUUCAAGGGUUACAGCCUGCGGCGGCAUCUCGGAGAUUCC
rnacentral:sRNA from 1 species